GUUAUGGGUCAACUCUGCACCUAUAAUCCCAGCUACUCUGGAGGCUGAGGCAGGAGGAUGGCUUGAGCCCAGGAGCUCAUGAUUAGCCAGGGCAACAUAGUGAGGUCCUGUCUCAA
rnacentral:sRNA from 1 species